UGGGUCCAGAAGAGGUAUUAUGAGACCUU
rnacentral:piRNA from 1 species